ACGGAGGAGCAGGAUGGACGGCCAGGGCGAUGGGUGAGGAGGCAUUCAGCUCUGGGAGGUAGCUGGGUGUGCAAGUCGAACAUGGAAAAGCCUGUGUGCUUGCCAGGGGGUUACACAGUGAGGUGACCUUGCUCGCUGCCUGUAAGUUUUAUACCAAGAUAUCAUGUGGGAAGCAAGACCUAAGGCACCCUCCAUCCUUCUGUGGACACUUUGCUGUCUUCUGUUAUUUUGCUGAGAGCAACACACUAAUCUUGGGUCAGAGGGAGCCACUGCUUUCUUCAAUAUUGAGGACUCAGCUGACAUCUCCAAUCCUGAAAACCCACUGUGCUUUGGACAAUCUCUUACUUCGGCGCAUUCACAGGGAUCUGGAUGAGAAGUUGAGCAACCUUCCACACCACAGCGCCGGCCCCGGAUUUCAUAAUACGUUAUCCUAUCUCCAACAUCAUUGCCUCUCUUUGUUAUGUUCUACUGCUCUUCACAUACACCUCCACCCUGAGCAAGGUGAAGAAUAGAAAAGCCUGCGAAUUUGAUGAUGAUGAUGAUGUUACAAAGGAGGUAAAGAUUGGGGGACUUUAUCUCCCAGGUAUGAGAACAGGGCUGCAAUCGGCAGGUUUCAGGUAUGAACAUCAUCAGAACCAAAGCGAAUCAGGACAGUGCUCCAAGAACACCUGGAAGACUGGGCUUCAAAACCUUGCAGACACCAGCAUCACAAAGAAUGCCAAUGAUACCAUGUUCUUGGACACUCCCCUUCCGCCCCAUGUUCAAUACUCCAUAUCCAGAAAUUGAAGACUGCUGCCUUGCCAACUUGGAUUCCUCGUGCAUCUAAAAUAAUAAACAAAGAAGGGAGCUGCUCUGUGACUAUGGUGAUUGAUCCUGACCACAAAGAAGAAAUUGAACUACUACUGCCCAGGGGAGGUAGGGAGAGUACGUCUUGAAUACAGGUUAUACUUUAGGGCAUUUCUUAGUCUUACCAUGCCCUGUAGGGAUUUAAAAAAUGUUCAUGGAAACACAAUUUGAAAGACAAACUUAUUGUGAUGCAAAUUAUUUUGAAAUCCAUGCUUAGAUUUUUUUUCAUAGCACACAUUUUCCAUGAAUUUUUUAGAUAUCCUGGUACAUAACAAAAAAGAUUUAGUAUAAGGGAAUUGGAUGAUUCACUUAAGAAUGUGAGCAACUCCUGUUACUUAUAAGCUAAGUCAACAAGCUGGAGACCUAGGAAAGCUGAUAGUUUAGUUCUAGUCCAAGUCCAAAGGCCUGGGACCCAAGAGACCCAUUAGUUUAGCUAUCAUCUGAAGGCUGGCAGGCUCCAGACCCAGAAAGAGUUGAUGUCCAGUUUGAUUCAAAGGUAGGAAAAACAAAACAAAAUAAAACAAAUAAACAAAAAGAACAAUGCCACAGUCUGAAGGCUACUAGGCAGAAAAAUAAUUCUCCUUUACUCAUUGGAGAGUUGGCCUUUUCACUCCAUUCAGACUUUCAACUAAUUAGUUGAGGUCUGCGGACGCUAGGAAGGGCAAUUGGCUUUACUUCAUCUACUGAUUUAAAUGUUAAUCUCGGGGCCAGCACUGUGGCAUGGCAGGUGAAGCUGCCGCCUAUAGUGUCGACAUCCUAUAUGGGCACCAGUUUGAGUCCCGGCUUUUCCACUUCCAAUCCAGCUCUCUGCUAUGGCCUGGGAAAGCAUUAGAAGAUGGUCCAAGUCCUUGGGCCCCUGCAUCCAUGUGGGAGACCUGGAAGACACUCCUGGCUUCAGAUUGGCACAGCUCUGGCCAUUGCGACAAAUUGGGGAGUGAAUCAGCAGAUGAAAGACACCCCCCCCCCACUCUUUUUCUGCCUCUCCUUCU